UAUUAUCAUAAAGUAGUGGAAUACAUGUCAGAGAUCAGAUGACACCCGAAGGUGACCAGAUGACACCCGAAGGUGACCAGACCAGAUGACACCCGAAGGUGACCAGAUGACACCCGAAGGUGACCAGAUGACACCCGAAGGUGACCACUGUGGGAUGAUCAGUCGCCACAGGCUGAUGCCUCUCUCACCAGCUAGGUAUACAGAAUACUAUGUGCACAUAGGCUAACUACUCUCCGUUAGCAUGGAGUUACUGACAAGUCCGAUAUCAAGGCAUAAUAGAUAUUUACAGAAUCAUCAGAGAAACGUAUAUCAUAUCAAAUAGAAUCUAGUUCGACAGAUUGCGAAUGCAAAUUCCAGAAUAAAUGAGUACUCGGAAAAUAAGCAACAUAUAUAAAUAUUCAAGAAAUUAACUAGUUGUACUCAUUGUAUAAUCAACAUACAUAUUUACUUAUCAUAUAUGCAUAUUAAAGAUUAUCCCACUCACCCGGAAAAUAUAGAACUAAAAGGAAUGUCAGAUGAAAGACCCGAAAAAUCUAUUGAGGAUCGUUAGGAGAACCUACAAUAAAUAUAUGAAAUAUACUUAAAAGCAACUCAAAGAAACACAAAUAAAAGAUUUCAAUGCAUAAAUGAAAACCAGGUUUAGUCUCCUAGGUUUAGGGACUAAAACAACAAUUAUCCAAAACAGGGAUCAAAACGUAAUUUUACCAAAACUGGACCAAACUGUAAAUACAUAACCAUACUGAAAUUUAUCCAUAAUUCAUCCUUAUCUUUGUCCAGAAUCUCGAAUUAUGCCCCAAGAGCCAAACUGUGAUUUUAUCAAAAUUUUAGGGGUCAAAUCGUAAUUUGUCAAAUUGGAGGACCAAACUGAAAAUAUCAUAUAUUCCUAAUUAUACUGGAAUUUUGCCCUUAAAUCAUCCUCAGUUCUGUUCAGAACCUCAAUUUAUGCCCCAGGAACCAAUCUGUAAUAUUUCCAAAGUUUGGGGACUAAACUGUAAUUUUCAUAAUUUGAGGGACCAAACUGAAAAUAUUCCAAAUCAAUUAUCAAACUGAGAUUCAUCAUCCUUAACCUCAUAAUAACACUGUCCAGAGUCUCAAAAUACAGUUAAGGAUCAAAUUAUAAUUUUCCCAAAGUUUAGGGACCAAACUGUAAUUUCACAAAUUGAGGGACCAAAUUGAAUUUUCGUCAUCUUCAACCUCAAACCCAGAAUUUCACAGAUUACCUACUGUCAUCACCUGAUUUCUAACACAAUUUCACCAUUCAAAUAAAA